rnacentral:tRNA from 20 species
UGGGAUCUUAGCUCAGCUGGGAGAGCAUCUGCCUUACAAGCAGAGGGUCACAGGUUCGAGCCCUGUAGGUCCCAU